rnacentral:rRNA from 1 species
GACGAACGCUGGCGGCGUGCUUAACACAUGCAAGUCGAGCGGUAAGGCCCUUUCGGGGGGUACACGAGCGGCGAACGGGUGAGUAACACGUAGGUGACCUGCCCUCAGCUCUGGGAGUAAGCCUGGGAAACCGGGGUCUAAUACUGGAUAUGACUCCAUGACGCAUGUUGUGGGGUGGAAAGCCUUGUGCGGCUGAGGAUGGGCCCGCGGCCUAUCAGCUUGUUGGUGGGGUGAUGGCCUACCAAGGCGACGACGGGUAGCCGGCCUGAGAGGGCGACCGGCCACACUGGGACUGAGACACGGCCCAGACUCCUACGGGAGGCAGCAGUGGGGAAUCUUGCGCAAUGGGCGAAAGCCUGACGCAGCGACGCCGCGUGAGGGAUGACGGCCU